UACGUAGGGUCCGAGCGUUGUCCGGAAUUACUGGGCGUAAAGAGCUCGUAGGUGGUUUGUCGCGUUGUUCGUGAAAACUCACAGCUCAACUGUGGGCGUGCGGGCGAUACGGGCAGACUUGAGUACUGCAGGGGAGACUGGAAUUCCUGGUGUAGCGGUGGAAUGCGCAGAUAUCAGGAGGAACACCGGUGGCGAAGGCGGGUCUCUGGGCCGCAACUGACGCUGAGGAGCGAAAGCAUGGGGAGCGAACAGG
rnacentral:rRNA from 1 species